rnacentral:rRNA from 2 species
ACCCUUUAAUGUUUGAUGUUCUAACGUGGACCCGUGAUCCGGGUUGCGGACAGUGUCUGGUGGGUAGUUUGACUGGGGCGGUCUCCUCCUAAAGAGUAACGGAGGAGCACGAAGGUUGGCUAAUCCUGGUCGGACAUCAGGAGGUUAGUGCAAUGGCAUAAGCCAGCUUGACUGCGAGCGUGACGGCGCGAGCAGGUGCGAAAGCAGGUCAUAGUGAUCCGGUGGUUCUGAAUGGAAGGGCCAUCGCUCAACGGAUAAAAGGUACUCCGGGGAUAACAGGCUGAUACCGCCCAAGAGUUCAUAUCGACGGCGGUGUUUGGCACCUCGAUGUCGGCUCAUCACAUCCUGGGGCUGAAGUAGGUCCCAAGGGUAUGGCUGUUCGCCAUUUAAAGUGGUACGCGAGCUGGGUUUAGAACGUCGUGAGACAGUUCGGUCCCUAUCUGCCGUGGGCGCUGGAGAACUGAGGGGGGCUGCUCCUAGUACGAGAGGACCGGAGUGGACGCAUCACUGGUGUUCGGGUUGUCAUGCCAAUGGCACUGCCCGGUAGCUAAAUGCGGAAGAGAUAAGUGCUGAAAGCAUCUAAGCACGAAACUUGCCCCGAGAUGAGUUCUCCCUGAGACUUAAAGUCUCCU